rnacentral:rRNA from 1 species
UACAGAGGUCUCAAGCGUUGUUCGGAUUCAUUGGGCGUAAAGGGCGCGUAGGCGGCGGGGUAAGUCUGGUGUGAAAUCUCGGAGCUCAACUCCGAAAUUGCACUGGAUACUGCUCUGCUAGAGGGCUGGAGAGGAGAUCGGAAUUCACGGUGUAGCAGUGAAAUGCGUAGAUAUCGUAAGGAACGCCAGUGGCGAAAGCGAGUCUCUGGGCAGCAUCUGACACUGAGGCACGAAGGCCAGGGGAGCAAACGGG